GACGAACGCUGGCGGCGUGCCUAAUACAUGCAAGUCGAACGCUCUUUUCUUAUCGAACUUCGGUUCACCGAGAAAAGGGAGUGGCGAACGGGUGAGUAACACGUGGGUAACCUACCCAUCAGCGGGGGAUAACACUUGGAAACAGGUGCUAAUACCGCAUAAUUCUUUUCUUCGCCUGAAGGGAAGAUGAAAGACGCUUUUGCGUCACUGAUGGAUGGACCCGCGCUGCAUUAGCUAGUUGGUGGGUAACGGCUCACCAAGGCCACGAUGCAUAGCCGACCUGAGAGGGUGAUCGGCCACACUGGGACUGAGACACGGCCCAGACUCCUACGGGAGCAGCAGUGGGGAUUUUCCGCAAUGGGCGCAAGCCUGACGGAGCGACGCCGCGUGGGUGAAGAAGGCCCUUCGGGUGUAAAGCUCUGUCCCUAUGGGAAGAAGUCAGUGACGGUA
rnacentral:rRNA from 1 species